GGAGCGGUAGUUCUGCCGGUUGGAAUGCCGGCUCACGCCGAGGGUCGCGGGUCCAACCCACGUCCGCUCCGCCA
rnacentral:tRNA from 3 species